GCUUGAAAGGUGCUUUCAAAAUCUUGAUCUCAAACAAAUGCAAGGUCCAAAAGGUGCUUUCAAAAUCUUUAUCUCAAACCAAAAACAAGGUUCUAAUAAGGUGCUUUAAAAGAUGUGAUCUCAAACCCAGAAACAUGGUUCCAAAGGUGCUUUCAAAAUCUUGAUCUCAAACCAAAAAAGGCUUGAAAAGGUGCUUUCAAAAUCUUGAUCUCUAACCAAAAAAGGCUUGAAAGGUGCUUUCAAAAUCUUGAUCUCAAACAAAUGCAGGGUCCAAAAGGUGCUUUCAAAAUCUUUAUCUCAAACCAAAUGCAAGGUCCAAAAGGUGCUUUAAAAAACUUGAUCUCAAACCAAAAACAACAUUCUAAAAAGGUGCUUUAAAAGACUUGUUCUCAAACCCAGAAACAUGGUUCCAAAGGUGCUUUCAAAGACUUGUUCUCAAACAAAAAAGGUUCAAAAGGUGCUUUCAAAGACUUGUUCUCAAACAAAAGGGUUUAAAAGGUGCUUUCAAAGACUUGUUCUCAAACCCAAAAGCAUGGUUCAGAAGGUGCUUUUCAAGGUAUGAUUUCAAACAAAAAAAGGUUCUUAAAAAAGGUGCUUUUCAAAAACUUGAUCUCAAACCAAAAAAAGGUUUGAAAGGUGCUUUAAAAAAUCUUGAUCUCAAACCAAAAACCAAAAUAGGUUCUUAAGGUGCUUUCAAAAACUUGAUCUCAAACCAAAUUCAAGGUUCUUAAAAAGGUGCUUUAUAAGACUUGAUCUCAAACCCAGAAACAAGGUUCUAAAGGUGCUUUCAAAGACUUGUUCUCAAAAAAAGGCUUCAAAAAAAGGUGCUUUCAAAGACUUGUACUCAAACAAAAAAGGGCUCAAAAGUUGCUUUUCAAGUAUUGAUGGCAAACAAACAAAAAGGUAUGAAAGGUGCUUUCAAAGAUUUAAUUUUAAUCAAAAAAAUUUUUAAGGUGUUUUCAAAGCCUUAGUCUCGAACCAAAAAAGC